GACGAGCGCUGGCGGCGUGCUUAACACAUGCAAGUCGAACGGAAAGGCCCAGCUUGCUGGGUACUCGAGUGGCGAACGGGUGAGUAACACGUGGGUGAUCUGCCCUGCACUCUGGGAUAAGCCUGGGAAACUGGGUCUAAUACCGGAUAUGAUCAACUGUCGCUUGGUGGUGGGUGGAAAGCUUUUGCGGUGUGGGAUGGGCCCGCGGCCUAUCAGCUUGUUGGUGGGGUAAUGGCCUACCAAGGCGACGACGGGUAGCCGACCUGAGAGGGUGAUCGGCCACACUGGGACUGAGACACGGCCCAGACUCCUACGGGAGGCAGCAGUGGGGAAUAUUGCACAAUGGGCGCAAGCCUGAUGCAGCGACGCCGCGUGAGGGAUGACGGCCUUCGGGUUGUAAACCUCUUUCACCAGGGACGAAGCGUGAGUGACGGUACCUGGAGAAGAGGCACCGGCCAACUACGUGCCAGCAGCCGCCGUAA
rnacentral:rRNA from 1 species